AUUGAACGCUGGCGGCAGGCCUAACACAUGCAAGUCGAGCGGAUGAAGGGAGCUUGCUCCUGGAUUCAGCGGCGGACGGGUGAGUAAUGCCUAGGAAUCUGCCUGGUAGUGGGGGAUAACGUCCGGAAACGGGCGCUAAUACCGCAUACGUCCUGAGGGAGAAAGUGGGGGAUCUUCGGACCUCACGCUAUCAGAUGAGCCUAGGUCGGAUUAGCUAGUUGGUGGGGUAAAGGCCUACCAAGGCGACGAUCCGUAACUGGUCUGAGAGGAUGAUCAGUCACACUGGAAGUGAGACACGGUCCAGACUCCUACGGGAGGCAGCAGUGGGGAAUAUUGGACAAUGGGCGAAAGCCUGAUACAGCCAUGCCGCGUGUGUGAAGAAGGUCUUCGGAUUGUAAAGCACUUUAAGUUGGGAGGAAGGGAAGUAAGUUAAUACCUUGCUGUUUUGACGUUACCAACAGAAUAAGCACCGGCUAACUUCGUG
rnacentral:rRNA from 1 species